GUGCCAGCAGCCGCGGUAAUACGGAGGGGGCUAGCGUUGUUCGGAAUUACUGGGCGUAAAGCGCACGUAGGCGGCUUUGUAAGUUAGAGGUGAAAGCCCGGAGCUCAACUCCGGAAUAGCCUUUAAGACUGCAUCGCUAGAACGUUGGAGAGGUAAGUGGAAUUCCGAGUGUAGAGGUGAAAUUCGUAGAUAUUCGGAAGAACACCAGUGGCGAAGGCGACUUACUGGACAACUGUUGACGCUGAGGUGCGAAAGCGUGGGGAGCAAACAGGAUUAGAAACCCGUGUAGUCC
rnacentral:rRNA from 1 species